UCUCCCCGGACGCCGCUACGUCCUGGCCGGUCUGACCUCGAUCUACCUCUUCCCCACGCUUCUGUUCGUGCUGCCGCUUUACGUGAAGGUGGUGCAGUUCGGGCUCGUCGACACCUAUGUCGGCCUCAUAAUUCCGUACGUGGCCUUUAUCCUGCCCUUCCUGGUCUGGAUCCUCGGGGCCUUCCUCAAAGCGGUGCCCGUCAGCGUCGAGGAGGCGGCUCUGAUCGACGGCGCCAACCGCAUGCAGGUUCUCGUUCGUAUCGUGCUUCCAUUGAUGAAG
rnacentral:misc_RNA from 1 species